rnacentral:rRNA from 1 species
UACGUAGGGUGCGAGCGUUAAUCGGAAUUACUGGGCGUAAAGCGUGCGCAGGCGGUUCGUUAAGACAGAUGUGAAAUCCCCGGGCUUAACCUGGGAACUGCAUUUGUGACUGGCGAGCUAGAGUAUGGCAGAGGGGGGUAGAAUUCCACGUGUAGCAGUGAAAUGCGUAGAGAUGUGGAGGAAUACCGAUGGCGAAGGCAGCUCCCUGGGCCAAUACUGACGCUCAUGCACGAAAGCGUGGGGAGCAAACAGG